rnacentral:misc_RNA from 1 species
GGAAGGAUCAUUAACAAAUCUGAGGGGAUAGUGCGGGGGUAGUGAUGAAAGAUGUGUGGUGUUUUGCUUUACGGCGGCUAUCACAUAUCACAGUCACAUCAUCCCGACAAACCCACAUUGACUCGGGCGCUGCUCUGACCACUUUUUUGGUGGUUAGUAAAGAUGCCCUGAGACAUACACGCUUGUUUUGUUUGACUGAGUUAUUGUGAAAAUUAAAUUAUGACAACUUUUAACAAUGGAUCUCUUGGCUCUUGCAACGAUGAAGAACGCAGUAAAGUGCGAUAUCUAAUGUGAUUUGCAUGAAUCUGUGAGUCAUCUAGUCUUUGAACGCAACUUGCACCACUCGAGAAAUCGAGUGGUAUGUCUGUUUGAGAACCACAAACCUCUUUGCUAUAUAUCCAUACGAUGUGAUGUGGUGUGUGAUAUAUGCAGACUUGAGAUACUCUCUAUCAGGGAGUAUCUUGAAAUAAAGCAUGCAGGGCUUGUGAGCGUGUGCCAUGUGCUAGAGAUCGCAAGAUCUUGUCAUGGUGUACGAGAACGGCCGAACCUUUUACGCUUUUAAUUGAGGUCUCAAAUCAGGCAAGAUUACCCGCUGAACUUAAGCAUAUCAGUAAGCGGAGGAAAAGAAACUAACAAGGAUUCCCCUAGUAACGGCGAGCGAAGCGGGAAUAGCUCAAAUUUAAAAUCUGAACGGUCUCCGUUCCGAAUUGUAGUCUAAAGAAGGUGAUCAAGAUUGGUGUAACUGGAUCAAGUCCCUUGGAAUAGGGCGCCUAAGAGGGUGAGAGCCCCGUUUAGUCCGGAUACCCAAUUAAUAUGUGAUCCUCUCUAAGAGUCGAGUUGUUUGGGAAUGCAGCUCAAAGUGGGUGGUAAAUCUCAUCUAAGGCUAAAUAAUGGCAAGAGACCGAUAGCGAACAAGUACCGUGAGGGAAAGAUGAAAAGCACCUAGAAAUGGGAGUUAAAUAGUACGUGAAAUUGUUAAAAGGGAAACGAUAGAGUCCAGUAUAGGAUAAACGUAGUGAGUUGAUCUUUUCGAAGAUUAACAAGCCUUUUAUCCGAGUCAAUGACAGUUGAGAUAGCGAGACACUGACUUGAGAAAGGUGGGGAAGUCUUUCGGGAUUUCUCUUUAUAGUCUCAAGUCAACGUCGCCAUCACGACUGGAUAAUAUACCAAAGCUAACAUAAUGGUAAAUUGGCCUGUGCAAGAUAUCGACUGCACGCAGACGAUAUCCCAAGCAAGCCAAACGACCACUUUUAUGCAGAGGUCUUUUGACGAAAUGGGCUUUAACGACCCGUCUUGAAACACGGACCAAGGAGUCUAACAUGUAUGCGAGUAUUAGAGUGGUAAACUCUUGUGCGUAAGGAAACUAAUAGUCUGUCAGCCCGCAAGGGUGCAGCAGAAACCGAAUGGAACUUAAUAGGUCCAUCUCGCGUAAGAGCUUACAUGUUGGGACCCGAAAGGCGGUGAACUAUGCCUGACUAGGGCGAAGCCAGAGGAAACUCUGGUGGAGGCUCGUAGCCGUUCUGACGUGCAAAUCGAUGGUCAAAGUUGGGUAUAGGGGCGAAAGACUAAUCGAACCGCCUAGUAGCUGGUUCCCUC